UAGGGAAUAUUGGACAAUGGGUGAGAGCCUGAUCCAGCCAUGCCGCGUGCAGGAAGAAGGCCUUCUGGGUUGUAAACUGCUUUUUGCCGGGGGAUAAAAGGCCCCUGCGGGGGACAUUGAAGGUACCCGGUGAAUAAGCCACGGCUAACUACGUGCCAGCAGCCGCGGUAAUACGUAGGUGGCAAGCGUUGUCCGGAUUUAUUGGGUUUAAAGGGUGCGUAGGCGGCCCCGUAAGUCAGUGGUGAAAUACGGCAGCUCAACUGUCGAGGUGCCAUUGAUACUGCGGGGCUUGAGUAUGGACGAGGUAAGCGGAAUUGACGGUGUAGCGGUGAAAUGCUUAGAUAUCGUCAAGAACACCGAUAGCGAAGGCAGCUUACUAGGCCAUAACUGACGCUGAGGCACGAAGGUGCGGGGAUCAAACAGGAUUAGAUACCCCCGUAGUCCCUGAGCGGGCUGGCAAGGCGCAU
rnacentral:rRNA from 1 species